ACGGCUCAGUAACACGUGGACAAUCUGCCCUGAAGAGGAGGAUAAUCCCGGGAAACUGGGGGUAAUACUCCAUAGUUCGCGCUGACUGGAAUGUUAUACGAACGAAAGAUCCGUCGCUUCAGGAUGAGUCUGCGGCCGAUUAGGUAGUUGUUGGGGUAACGGCCCAACAAGCCUGUCAUCGGUACGGGUUGUGGGAGCAAGAGCCCGGAGAUGGAUUCUGAGACACGAAUCCAGGCCCUACGGGGCGCAGCAGGCGCGAAAACUUUACCAUGCGGGCAACCGUGAUAAGGAAACCCCGAGUGCCAGCACAGGCUGGCUGUCCUCCAGUGUACAAAACUGGUGAAGAAAGGGCCGGGCAAGACCGGUGCCAGCCGCCGCGGUAAUACCGGCGGCUCGAGUGGUGGCCGCUAUUACUGGGCUUAAAGGGUCCGUAGCUGGAUGUACAAGUCCCUUGAGAAAUCCGCCGGCUUAACCGGUGGGCGUUCAGGGGAAACUGUAUUUCUAGGGACCGGGAGAGGUGAGAGGUACUGCCGGGGUAGGAGUGAAAUCCUGUAAUCCCGGUGGGACCACCUAUGGCGAAGGCAUCUCACCAGAACGGGUCCGACAGUGAGGGACGAAAGCUGGGGGAGCAAACCGGAUUAGAUACCCGGGUAGUCCCAGCUGUAAACGAUGCGCGUUAGGUGUGUCAGUGACCACGUGUCACUGAGGUGCCGAAGGGAAACCGUGAAACGCGCCGCCUGGGGAGUACGGUCGCAAGGCUGAAACUUAAAGGAAUUGGCGGGGGAGCAC
rnacentral:rRNA from 1 species